GAGCAAUCAACGGCUGGGCAAUGUGCUGAAACCUGGGAGGGAGCAGCCUGGUGACACUGAAAGGCCAGCUUGGGGGAGAUUGCAGAUUUAAAGCCAAGGCCAGGAAAGCCUUAUUAAAAGCAGGUUUGCUCUGAUUCCUGGCUCCAGGAACUAGAAGGGCUCAUUGCUGGGCCAGGGAUGUUCCCUUCGUAGGCUGUCUGCCUGUGGCUGGAAGACUUCUCUGUGUCUGGGGGACUACGCAGUUCCCAGGCCUGCGCGUGGCACGGGGGCUCUGGGAAGACACAGAACAUGUAACAAAACAGACGGCACGUGUUCCUUCAGCCACUGGAAAACAGAACCAUGGACAGACCAAGAGGAGGCUGCUGACGCUGGAGGUGCGUAAAAGGUGAGGCAUUGCCCCACAAACUGCAUCCCGCACAGCAGCGAAAGUCCAAGGAGAUGGCAUUCUCCUCCCACCCCUGCCAGUGACCAGCUGGACUUAAGCAAGUGUUUCACCUCUCCAGAACUGAGCUUCUCCUCUCCUAACGAGUGGUGAAAAGAGAUGAUGUGCGGGGUCACUUCCUGCAAAAACGCAUGGAACUGAAAGUUCUGCAUUGCGUGGUUCUCCACAGUAUGUGCUCACGCAGCUGCGUAGCCUCAAGGCAUCAGGAGUUUCCAGCGGCUUUCAUGCACAGGUAAUGGGAAGGGUUGUCUUCACAGCUUAGUGUCAGUACCCAGAUAUCCUCGUGAUAAAGUCAGCUUCAGAGUCUAAACUGCAAUGUACUCCAGGUUCAACAACUCAGUAUGAGAGAAGAAGUCUUAGACACUCUGGGAAAACAUCACUUCUGAAAAAGAUAAAACUAGCAAAUAGUCCCAACAACGUUAAUGGAUAUUUUUAUUAUGUAUAAAUAAUAAUGAGAGACAAAAAUCUUAUCCCUCUUUUCCCAUUAUUAGCAUUUUAAAAUGCACAAAACUUAAUAACACUCAUAAAAUGUCCCUAAA